rnacentral:rRNA from 1 species
UACGAAGGGGGCUAGCGUUGUUCGGAAUCACUGGGCGUAAAGCGCACGUAGGCGGGUUCUUAAGUCAGGGGUGAAAUCCCGAGGCUCAACCUCGGAACUGCCUUUGAUACUGGGAAUCUUGAGUUCGGGAGAGGUGAGUGGAAUUGCGAGUGUAGAGGUGAAAUUCGUAGAUAUCGCUUGGAACGCCGAAGGUGAAAACAGGUUGCUGGGGUUGUGCCGACGCUGAGACACGAAAGCCAGGGGAGCGAACGGG